rnacentral:rRNA from 1 species
CUUCCUACGGGGCGCAGCAGUGGGGAAUAUUGCACAAUGGGGGAAACCCUGAUGCAGCGACGCCGCGUGAGUGAAGAAGUAUUUCGGUACGUAAAGCUCUAUCAGCAGGGAAGAAAAACCGGCCUUAGGGCCGCCAGACGGUACCUGACUAAGAAGCCCCGGCUAACUACGUGCCAGCAGCCGCGGUAAUACGGAGGAUGCGAGCGUUAUCCGGAUUUAUUGGGUUUAAAGGGUGCGUAGGCGGAGUGUCAAGUCAGCGGUAAAAUUUCGGGGCUCAACCCCGUCGUGCCGUUGAAACU